rnacentral:tRNA from 1 species
GGGUGAUUAGCUCAGCUGGGAGAGCACCUCCCUUACAAGGAGGGGGCGGUUCGAUCCCGUCAUCACCCACCA